AGGACGAACGCUGGCGGCGUGCUUAACACAUGCAAGUCGAGCGGAAAGGCCCUUCGGGGUACUCGAGCGGCGAACGGGUGAGUAACACGUGAGUAACCUGCCCCAGACUUUGGGAUAACCCUCGGAAACGGGGCUAAUACCGAAUAUGACACAGUCUCGCAUGGGAUCUGUGUGGAAAGUUUUUCGGUCUGGGAUGGACUCGCGGCCUAUCAGCUUGUUGGUGGGGUAAUGGCCUACCAAGGCGAGGACGGGUA
rnacentral:rRNA from 1 species